GUGGGGAAUAUUGGGCAAUGGGGGCAACCCUGACCCAGCAACGCCGCGUGAGGGAAGAAGGUUUUCGGAUUGUAAACCUCUGUCCUAUGGGAAGAAGGAAGUGACGGUACCAUAGGAGGAAGUCCCGGCUAACUACGUGCCAGCAGCCGCGGUAAUACGUAGGGGACGAGCGUUGUCCGGAAUUACUGGGCGUAAAGGGCGCGUAGGCGGUCAUUUAAGUCAGCUGUGAAAUGGUCCGGCUCAACCGGAUCAUGCGGUUGAAACUGGAUGACUGGAGUGCUGGAGAGGCAAGUGGAAUUCCCAGUGUAGCGGUGAAAUGCGUAGAUAUUGGGAAGAACACCGGUGGCGAAGGCGACUUGCUGGCCAGCAACUGACGCUGAGGCGCGAAAGCCAGGGGAGCAAACGGGAUUAGAUACCCGGGUAGUCC
rnacentral:rRNA from 1 species